rnacentral:rRNA from 1 species
UACGGGGGGGGCAAGCGUUGUUCGGAAUUACUGGGCGUAAAGGGUUCGUAGGUGGCCCGCUAAGUCAGACGUGAAAUCCCUCAGCUCAACUGGGGAACUGCGUCUGAGACUGGCAGGCUUGAGUGCAGGAGAGGAACGCGGAAUUCCAGGUGUAGCGGUGAAAUGCGUAGAUAUCUGGAGGAACACCGGUGGCGAAGGCGGCGUUCUGGACUGUUACUGACACUGAGGAACGAAAGCCAGGGGAGCAAACGGG